rnacentral:rRNA from 1 species
AGAUUGAACGCUGGCGGCAUGCCUUACACAUGCAAGUCGAACGGUAACGCGGGGGCAACCCUGGCGACGAGUGGCGAACGGGUGAGUAAUACAUCGGAACGUACCCAGUAGUGGGGGAUAGCUCGGCGAAAGCCGGAUUAAUACCGCAUACGACCUACGGGUGAAAGCGGGGGAUCGCAAGACCUCGCGCUAUUGGAGCGGCCGAUGUCGGAUUAGCUUGUUGGUGAGGUAAAAGCUCACCAAGGCGACGAUCCGUAGCUGGUCUGAGAGGACGACCAGCCACACUGGGACUGAGACACGGCCCAGACUCCUACGGGAGGCAGCAGUGGGGAAUUUUGGACAAUGGGCGAAAGCCUGAUCCAGCCAUGCCGCGUGUGUGAAGAAGGUCUUCGGAUUGUAAAUCCCUUUCGGCGGGACGAUGAUGACGGUACCCGCAGAAGAAGCUCCGGCUAACUUCGCGCCAGCAGCCGCGGUAA